rnacentral:rRNA from 1 species
UACUAAGCGGAGGAAAAGAAACCAACGGGGAUUCCCAUAGUAACGGCGAGUGAAAGGGGAAGAGCCCAGCGCCGAAUCCUGCUGCUGGCAACGGUGGUAGGAACUGUGGCGUGAAGACAGUCCAUUCCAGUGCGGCUAGCUUGCGUAAGUUCUCCUGAGUGAGGCUCCAUCCCAUGGAGGGUGCAAGGCCCGUAUCGUAAGCAGUCGGUGCUGGUUUAAGCUGUUGGAGAGUCGCCUUGUUUGCGAGUACAAGGUGAAGUCGGUGGUAAACUCCAUCGAAGGCUAAAUAUGACCACGAGUCCGAUAGCGAACAAGUACCGUGAGGGAAAAUUGAAAAGCACUUUGAAGAGAGAGCGAAACAGUGCGUGAAACCGCUUAGAGGCAAGCAGAUGGGGCCUCGAAGGCAAAGCAGUGAAUUCAGCUGGUAGUCCGUAGUGCCGGCUUGCUCAUAGACCGCAAGGCUAUGGUAGGUUGUGAGGCUGCGGCUGCUAGUGCACUUUCACUGUUUGUACGCCACCGCCGUUGAGCGAGCGUCCGUCAGGCCAGCGUGUGAAGCCUUGUUCCUGCAAGGGAACAGGUGUCUUACUGCUGGCUAUCGACGCGUUCGCACCUCAACCGGUCAUGUCAGCGUGUGCCAGCGUAUUGCGUAUUGGGCUCGUGCACCCUAUGUUUGCGUCGGAGAUGACAAGCUUGCUUGGCUCACUGGCGUAGGCUAGGAAUGUGCGGGUUUGCAACGUAGGCACAUUGUCGAUUCGGUGGCGAGUAGACGGCUGCCCAUCUAACCC